UUAUAUAGUAUAUCACCCUGCAGGCCAAGACCGGUUACUCACUGAAGCUAAGCAGGGUUAAGCCUGGUCAGUACCUAGAUGGGAGAUCAUAUGGGAAAACUAGGUUGCUCUUGGAA
ensembl:rRNA 5S_rRNA 5S ribosomal RNA